rnacentral:rRNA from 1 species
GACGAACGCUGGCGGCGUGCUUAACACAUGCAAGUCGAACGGAAAGGCCCUGCUUUUGUGGGGUGCUCGAGUGGCGAACGGGUGAGUAACACGUGAGUAACCUGCCCUUGACUUUGGGAUAACAUCAGGAAACUGGGGCUAAUACCGGAUAGGAGCUCCUGCUGCAUGGUGGGGGUUGGAAAGUUUCGGCGGUUGGGGAUGGACUCGCGGCUUAUCAGCUUGUUGGUGGGGUAGUGGCUUACCAAGGCUUUGACGGGUAGCCGGCCUGAGAGGGUGACCGGCCACAUUGGGACUGAGAUACGGCCCAGACUCAUACGGGAGGCAGCAGUGGGGAAUAUUGCACAAUGGGCGGAAGCCUGAUGCAGCAACGCCGCGUGCGGGAUGACGGCCUUCGGGUUGUAAACCGCUUUCGCCUGUGACGAAGCGUGAGUGACGGUAAUGGGUAAAGAAGCACCGGCUAACUACGUG